rnacentral:hammerhead_ribozyme from 1 species
ACUUAGCUGCUGAGUCCUGAUAGCCACUUUCUUGUGCAAUAGGACGAAACGCGCGUCCUGGAU